rnacentral:lncRNA from 1 species
AAGAAGAAGAAGAAGAAGAAGAAGAAGAAGAAGAAGAAGAAGAACCAACAAUUGAAAUCUUUACAUCUUCCAGGCUAGCACUAUGAGAUCCAUGUUCAGCCAUGGCUAUGGGAAUGUCUUAGUUUAUAGCUAAUGUGAUAUAAAUGCUUUCAUGGGUGGGCAGUUAAAUGGUAUUCCUGGUGCUACUUUGGUAGAACAGUGCUUGGGAUAACAUAGGGGUCUAUGUCUCCAUUCCUACAGAACUGACCUGGACUUGUAUUUUCAUGUUUCAUCCUUCCUAUAGUCUCCACCCAUCUUAUUCUGAAACAUAAAAGUGGAAAAUGUAACAACAAAAUUAAUAUAAUUAACUUCCAGAGUGAUAUCUAGUUGUCAUAAGAAUUUUAUAAAGUUGGGGGUUGGGGAUUUAGCUCAGUGGUAGAGUGCUUGCCUAGCAAGCGCAAGGCUCUGGGUUCGGUCCCCAGCUCUGAAAAAAAAGAAAAAAGAAAAAAAAAGAAUUUUAUAAAGCAACCAAAUUUAUUUUCUGAGUUUUUUUGACCAUUUAAGAUUAGUAUUCAUGGUGAGUUUUAUAGAGGAAUUUUAAUCCAGCAACAUGGCUGCUCUGGAAAGAGAUCACAUCCAGGGGCUUUCUAGGUCUGUGUGACCCAGCCAGAAUGACAUACCUAUAAUCCCUACAGAUAUACCCUUAGUGCACACCUUUAAUCCUUAACAAUGUAGUUAAUGUUAGUUUGCAGAAGGAAGAAGCUGAAAGUGAUCUCCAAUUGAAGGAUAGACAAAGUUACAAGUCAGAGGAAGAUUUGACAAAAUAAGUCAGGGAUAGGACAUGCCCUAUCAGGGGUGAGGGCAGUUCAGUGAGUACAGUUCAGUUGAGUUCAGGCAAACAGUGUUGUUUAGUUGAGUGAAGUUUGGAGCAGUUCAGUUGAAUGCAGUUGAGUUCAGUUUCAUUCAGUUCCUGUGCAGUCAAUACAGUUUAGUUUGUGGAAUUCAAGAGGCAAUUUUUCCAAGCAGAGCAAUUCAGUGAGAAGCUGAGAGAAUCCCAUUUGAAUUAAUCACCUUGGAGAGCCAUUUGAGUCAGAACAGCUGAGUUGAAUCAGCCAGCCAGAGUUCAGAAAGAACUAGAAAGGGUGAUUUUUAUUCAGCAGUAAGCCUUUGAGAUGACACAUUUGGCAAAUAAAAGGCACUUUUACAGAGGCUUAAUAGUCUGAAUAUUUUUCCUAUCUUUUUGGGCUCCUGUUUUUGAGAGACGUUUUCACCAUGUAGCUCUUUCAGUCUUACACAUCUUUGUGUAGACCAGACUGGAAUUAGUCUCACAGAGAUCUGCCUGACUCUGCUAGAGUUGGUAUGUGCUACUAAGCCCAACCGAUAUUUCUACGCAUUAAAAACCCCUUCACAUGCUAAUUGCAACUGAUUCAGAAUAGAAACAUCAAUGUGUGUUUGUAUGAAUGGAUUUGAAAGUCUAAUUUGUCCAUCAAUAAAACUAUUAAUAACUAUUCUCAAA